CAGCCCCAUGCCUUAAGCAAAGUGUGGGAUGGUCUCGGGAGGACACCCACAAAUGUAAGUAGGAAGGUGGGAAGCAGCCUCUCCUCUAAUAUAGAAAAACAACUGUGACAGACAGAACAAAGCAUGUGGUUCAGACACGAGACCCUGAGCUAGCCCUGGGGAGGGAGACAGCAGCUUUGCAGCCGUUAUCCUCAGGAAGCCCUGAGCGCUGAGAGGCACUGUUACAGAACCGAACUGGGGUCCACUCGCUAGGCCUACCUAGGUGCCUGGAAUUUCCCUUCGAGGAACGCAGGAGUUUUCUUUAUUUUCAUGCUUGGGAAGGCUCAUUAGGCCCCUAAGAGAGGGUCCCUUCCCCAUCUCAGGACUAAAAUGCAAUGAAGAUGUUGCUCAGAGGCAGCUGGAGAGGGAUGGGUCUGUGGAGGAUGCCCCGCAGAGUGAAGUCGAGAUGAUGCAGCCACCAGGGCCGGAGGGGAGGGACAUUCCACUUUUUAAAUCAGCUUUCUGAAGCAUGAUCUCCAUAUAAUCACCUAGAAGCGUACAGCACAAUGAUCUUGACAGAUGCCAGCAUCCUUGGAACCACUGCCACCACCAACGUCUCAAACCAUUCCAUCAAACCCAGAACACUCCUGGUGCCCUGAAGCGUCUCCCUUCAGUGGCAGAACCAGCAGAGAUUCAGUGGUCACAAGGCUGGUCUGGAACUCCUGGGUGCAAGCGAUCCUUCCACCUCGGCCUCCCAAAGUGCUGGGAUUAGAGGCAUAAGCCACCGCGCCCAGCCAGGAAUGGAUUUUCUCACAGUUCUCGAUGGCGGAAGUCUGAGAUCAAGGUCUUGGCAGGGCUAGGUCUCUCUGAGGCCUUUCUCCCCAGCUUAUAGGUCGCCGCCUCCUCUCUCUGUCUUUCCUUGUCUUCCUUGUGUCCACAGUUGUGUCCAAAUUCCCCUUUCUCAUAAGGACGUCAGUCAUGUUGGAUUAGGGCCCUCCCUCCUGACCUUGUUUUAGCUUAAUCUCUGCAACUUAACCCUUAACCUCAGUAAAGAUCCUAUUUCCAAAUGUGUUCACAUUCUGAGGUCCUGAGGAUUAGGACUUUGAAAGGAUUAAAACAGGCUCUUCUGGCAUAUUGACAAUUUCAGCUAAAGACUCUUGAGAAACAGCAGGUGCAAAAAGAUCACAGUGACCUCCAUGCUGUACCUUGAGAUGAAAUUCCAAUGCGAAAGAUGCCCUCUCCACCCUAGAAGGGAAAGCAACAUCCUUAUCUUUGGGAGUGAAAAGUCCAAACUGAGAGCAUACUUGCCUUUCUCUGGAGGGGCUCUGCCAGCAUGAAUUCCUUUACGGGUGGAAGCCUCACAGUCCAGUCUACCAGUGAGGUCCACAUGGGAUUGGCUGGAGGGAGCUACGAAGUCAAGCGGCGUCAGGUACAGAGAAACAAAUCCCACAUCCAAGGGCCAGGAGGCGGUAGAGCAAACCACGCACAGCCGGGUGACUUAAGGGCAAGGAAGUCUUCCUGCAGGAGGUGAAUUUGGCACAAGGGAUACGUUUUUAGGCCCUGAGUGGAGGAUCUGGGUUUCAAACUGGACUUUUGAAAAACACACUCUUAUUGUAGAAGGGCCUGCGGGUUUGUUUUAAUCACUUCUCAAAGCUACGCUAGGCAUUCGCAGCUCAGGAUCCCCAGUUUAGCCUAAUAAAAAAAAGUAAUUACAUCAUAUUACAGAUAAUUUGAUUGUGUCUGAGACGAUAAUUGAGUUAAAACGCUUAUUGUAACAGACACAUCAGAUUGGCAAGGAGGAAGCUCGGCUUAAAUACAAACAGUGUUGAGAGUGGAAUUAAAGGAUUGCCAUUGCAGUUAA
ensembl:lncRNA LINC01532 long intergenic non-protein coding RNA 1532